GGGGGUAUAGCUCAGUGGUAGAGCAUUUGACUGCAGAUAGAGUGGUCCCCGGUUCAAACUGGGGUGCCUCCU
rnacentral:tRNA from 1 species